AUGCAUAGUUUAUCUUCGUCGGAAACCACCUUAUCACAUCCUGCCGCCGAUAAAUUCCGAUUCUAUCUCUUUCCAUUUUUCUGUUUUCAAUUUGUUUUGGGUAUUUAUCUUUUGUUUCUCUUAGUUGUGAAAGUAACAAAGAUGCAUUUGAAAAAAAUAGAUGAAUAUGUGUUUUGGGUAUUAAUGUGUUUUUCAGAACAUUUAAUUUUUUUAUAUUAUUAUAAAUAG